rnacentral:rRNA from 1 species
CGAACGCUGGCGGCGUGCUUAACACAUGCACGUCUAACGGAAAGGCCCCUUUGGGGGUACUCGAGUGGCGAACGGGUGAGUAACACGUGAGUAACCUGCCCUUGACUUCGGGAUAACUUCAGGAAACUGGGGCUAAUACCGGAUAGGAAUCCUUUCUGCAUGGUGGGGGUUGGAAAGCUUCGGCGGUUUUGGAUGGACUCACGGCUUAUCAGCUUGUUGUUGGGGUAGUGGCUUACCAAGGCUUUGACGGGUAGCCGGCCUGAGAGGGGGACCGGCCACAAUGGGACUGAGAUACGGCCCAGACGCCUACGGGAGGCAGCAGGGGGGAAUAUUGCAAAAUGGGCGGAAGCCGGAUGCAGAAAAGCCGCGUGCGGGAUGACGGCCUUCGGGUUGUAAACCGCUUUCAGCAGGGGCGAAGCUUGUGGUGACGGUACCUGCAGAAGAAGCACCGGCUAACUACGUG